rnacentral:misc_RNA from 1 species
GAACGCACAUUGCGCCCCAUGGUAUUCCGUGGGGCAUGCCUGUUCGAGCGUCAUUUACCCCCUCAAGCUCUGCUUGGUGUUGGGCGUCUGUCCCGCUUCGCGCGCGGACUCGCCCCAAAGGUAUUGGCAGCGGUCGUGCCAGCUUCUCGCGCAGCACAUUGCGCUUCUCGAGGCACCGGCAGAUUCGCAUCCAUCAAGCCCACUUCCCCAUUUUGACCUCGGAUCAGGUAGGGAUACCCGCUGAACUUA